rfam:Oryza barthii chromosome 2, whole genome shotgun sequence.
AAAGACUCAAUUCCUAGGUUUUCGUGUCCUACGUUUGAAUAUCCGUCUUAUAUGAAACUUUUUUAUGAUUAGUAUUUUCAUUGUUGUUAAAUGAUAAAACAUAAAUAAUACUUUAUACGUGAUUUAUCUUUUUAAAUUUUUUCAUAUUUUUUUCAAAUAAGACGGACGGUCAAAUGUUGGACACGAAAACUCAGGAAUUAAGUUAUU